UACGAAGGGGGCAAGCGUUGUUCGGAUUUACUGGGCGUAAAGGGCGCGUAGGCGGCCACCGCAAGUCGACUGUGAAAUCUCCGGGCUUAACCCGGAACGGUCAGCCGAUACUGCGGGGCUAGAGUGCAGAAGGGGCAACUGGAAUUCUCGGUGUAGCGGUGAAAUGCGUAGAUAUCGAGAGGAACACCUGCGGCGAAGGCGGGUUGCUGGGCUGACACUGACGCUGAUGCGCGAAAGCUAGGGGAGCGAACGGGAUUAGAAACCCUAGAGUCC
rnacentral:rRNA from 1 species